UUUGUUUGUGGUCUUGAUUUGACUAACGUGCCUGUAAAUGUUAAUGUAGUUUCCAUGAACUUUUGUUUGAGGACCUGUUUGUAAUUUACUGGGAAGUUCCAGCACAAUGAUUGGGAAGGGUUUUGCUAAUUUACAAACUCAGCAGAGUUGGUUGCUAAUUAAAUUAAAAUAGGACCUAAUGGGACCUAUUAAGAUUGCUAAUUAAAAUAAACAUUUGCUGUGGGGAUUGAUAUGUCUAUGAAAUGCUUCCUGAUAGCUUCCGCAAACUGUGUUUCAGUUACUCAGUUUUAAAACUAAUUGUCUAUUUGCUUUUAAGAGUCAAAUCUUGAGAUGUUUGUCCAGGACAAAAUACUAUGUGCUGAUGAGAAAAUAGAGACAGAUUCAAAAUGGUUUGAAAGGAAGAAGGCAUAUUCUUCACUCGUUUAAGCAGAUCUGAGAUCAGGCUUGUUACUAUCAAACCUGAGAAUUUGAACACAUGAGCGAUGUAUUAAUCCCAAUUUCAGAUUGUUAUCUGACUGAUGUGGAUAGAAAAAAAUGCUUUAUUGAUGAAGGAAAUUUUUGAAAACAAGAAUAAGGAACCACGUCUCUUGAUUGCUGUGGGUUGACAGUAUUAAUAGAUGAACAUCAGUCUACUCUUUUGGUGAAAGAAGACCAGAAAGUAA